rnacentral:tRNA from 1 species
GGGCUUGUAGCUCAGUUGGUUAGAGCACGCGCUUGAUAAGCGUGGGUCGAGGUUCAAGUCCUCCCAGGCCACCA